rnacentral:rRNA from 1 species
GACGAACGCUGGCGGCGUGCUUAACACAUGCAAGUCGAACGGAAAGGCCCUGCUUUUGUGGGGUGCUCGAGUGGCGAACGGGUGAGUAACACGUGAGUAACCUGCCCUUGACUUUGGGAUAACUUCAGGAAACUGGGGCUCAUACCGGAUAGGAGCUCCUGCUGCAUGGUGGGGGUGGGAAAGUUUCGGCGGUUGGGGAUGGACUCGCGGGUUAUCAGCUUGUUGGUGGGGUAGUGGCUUACCAAGGCUUUGACGGGGAGCCGGCCUGAGAGGGUGGCCGGGCACAUUGGGCCUGAGAGAGGCACCAGUCUGCUACGGGAGGCAACGGGGGGAAGUAUUACACAAUGGGGGGGAGCGUGAUGAGAAGGCGCCGCGUGUGUGAUGUCGGCCUUCGGGUUGCAAACCGCUUUCGCCUGAGACGAAGCGUGAGUGACGGUAAUGGAUAAAGAAGCACCGGCUAACUACGUG